UAUAAAUUGCUUUACUAAAGCUAGUCCAGCGUCAAAUCACGAACAUUAUUCCCAACGAACAAACACCAAUAUUUCAAGGCCGUUUAUUAUAACAUUAAAGUUUAAACACGUAUCAGCAAUGCACCAUUUAAACAUUUAUUUUCUGGUUAUUGCAAUUUUUGCACUUAGUCACAUUAAAUCCCAACCAAUUUUUGAAGAUCGCAAUAAUAACUUAUAUCAUUUAGUUCUCUCCGAUGAUAUAAUAUAAUACAAAUUGGCCACAGAUAUAUCAGAUCACCCAAUCCACAUCACGACGCAGAUCAUGAAACAGGCAGAAAACACGUUAGCUUCGGGCAAUCACAUAUAAUACUUUCGUUGACAACGAUCGACAUAAAUUCACUGCCAACGCAUAUGCAAACCGCAAUUAUGCCCCAAAAGGACCUUUAACAA